rnacentral:rRNA from 1 species
AGUGAACGCUGGCGGUAGGCCUAACACAUGUAAGUCGAACGGCAGCACAGUAAGAGCUUGUUCUUAUGGGUGGGGAGUGGAGGAUGGGUGAGGAAUAAAUGGGAAUUUACUUUUUAGUGGGGGAUAAGGUAGGGAAACUUACGCUAAUACCGCAUACGACCUACGGGUGAAAGCAGGGGAUCUUCGGACCUUGCGCGAUUGAAUGAGCCGAUGUCGGAUUAGCUAGUUGGCGGGGUAAAGGCCCACCAAGGCGAGGGGUCGUAGCUGGUCUGAGAGGAUGAUCAGCCACACUGGAACUGAGACACGGUCCAGACUCCUACGGGAGGCAGCAGUGGGGAAUAUUGGACAAUGGGCGCAAGCCUGAUCCAGCCAUACCGCGUGGGUGAAGAAGGCCUUCGGGUUGUAAAGCCCUUUUUUUUAGAAAGAAAAGCAGCAGGCUAAUACCCCGCUGUUCUGACGGUACCCAAAGAAUAAGCACCGGCUACCUUCGUG